rnacentral:rRNA from 1 species
UGGUGGAGUGAUUUGUCUGGUUAAUUCCGAUAACGAACGAGACCUCGACCUGCUAAAUAGUGUUUUGCAACGCCUGCUGGUGAAGCUAUUAGCUGGCUGUGCCGGUUUACUGGUGUGGUCUCUGGUAGUGGAUCCUUGACGAUUGUAGAGGACUUCUUAGAGGGACUAUUGGCGUUUAGCCAAAGGAAGUGAGGCAAUAACA